rnacentral:rRNA from 1 species
CAUGUCUUUUUGAAAAUUAUUUAAAGUCUAAUCUGCCCACUGAAUUAUUUAAAGGGCCGCAGUAAUCUGACUGUGCAAAGGUAGCAUAAUCAUUUGUCUUUUAAUUGAAGGCUAGUAUGAAUGAUUGGACGAGGUAAAUACUGUCUCAUUAUUAGAAUAAUAAAAAUUUAGCUUUUUAGUCAAAAGGCUAAGAUUUUAUUGGAGGACAAGAAGACCCUAUAGAUCUUUAUGUUAUUAAAUAUGUUUUUAUUAUGGGUUUAUAAUUUUUAAUAUAUUUAUUAAUAUUUUGUUGGGGUGACAUGAAAAUUAAAAUAACUUUUCAUAUUUUAGAACAUUGAUUAAUGAUUUUAUGAUCCAUUCUUAUUGAUUAUAAGAAUAAGUUACCUUAGGGAUAACAGCGUUAUUUUAUUGGAUAGUUCAUAUUGAUAAUAAAGUUUGCGACCUC